GAAAGAGGAAGAGAGAGGGAGGGAGAGAAAGACAGAGACAGAGAAAGAGACAGAGGAGAAAGGGAGAGAGGAGAGAAGAGGCAGGCUGUCAAUAAGUGGAAAGAUGUGGGCAGGGAUGCCAGAGAGAGGCAGGAGGGGGUGGUCAGAGAGAGAGGCCAAACAGUCCUUUUAAGGCAAGCCAGGCUGUUGCUAGGUAACUGCUGGGCAGAACCUAGAAGAAAUGCUAACCUGUGAACACCUAGGAGAUCUAUAAAUGUACAGCAGAGCAUGUUCUCCCCAAAGAGACCAGGGUAGGUAAGAUUCAAUGCAACAAAGACACUCGGAUGAAGAGGACAAUCAUGCUUGCUGGAAAGAGGUCCCAUGAAAGUACUGAGAGCUGCACCCAGGACCCCUGUCUCACUCUGGCUGAAAUCACAGUGGAGGACCCAAAGGACUCAUGAACCAAUCUACCAAUUUCUUUUUAGCACCUCUGUCUCCUAAGAUACCUGAGAAAACAGAGCACUGAACAGUCUUUAGCUCAAGUACGCUCAUGUGUCAUGGACCAAAGGAAUCAAGGGUCUUACCUGAGCCAAAGUCUAGAGCAUUUCUGAGGUUGAGACUAGUUUGGUCUACAGAGUGAGUUCCAGGACAGCUAGGGCUACAAAGAGAAACUCUGCCUCAUAAGGAGGAGGGGAAGG
rnacentral:lncRNA from 1 species